AACCAUUGGUUUGCGCUCACGCACGUACCGCCCUUCGGGCUGUGCUCCGCGGGGGCGCCGGACGACCGGCGACGGCCUCUGGCCUGUAUGGGAGAGCCUUAAUAGGCUUGAAGUUCGGCGAGAUGGGCCCGUAGCUCAGUUGGUUAGAGCACACGCUUGAUAAGCGUGGGGUCGGAAGUUCAAGUCUUCCCGGGCCCACCAUUCGCAUAUGCGAAUGAGGUUUGCUGUAGCGAAUAGUGGUUUGUUUGGGUUUACCUGAUCCUGGCGGUUUGCUGUCAGGUGUUUGCGAUGGUUGGGGCUGUAGCUCAGCUGGGAGAGCACCUGCUUUGCAAGCAGGGGGUCAGCGGUUCGAUCCCGCUCAGCUCCACCAAUUCGCUUGGUGUCGAGACUGAGAGAUAUCCUUUGAAGAAAUAAAAGUUUUGCAUCGGCUUAUGGCUGAUGCGUGUUCUGCAUACAUUGUGAAGAGAAGAUUGAUCUGGAGGCUUCCAGGUGUUUUGGGUUCUGCCCAAGGCGUCCGAGCCCAGUUCCUAUGAAACCAUGGAUGGCCUAGCCGGCCGGAUGUGGUGGAGGGAUUGGAGGUAGGAAGGAAGCUUGUCGCUCUGGGUCGUUGUUGUUUGCUGUCUUUAGGGAUGAGCAUCUGACGGACGACUUGAUUACCGUUGCCUGACCGCGCGGUAUCGGAUCAUAUCUCGAGAAGCUGGUCUUAAGACAGGCUGCAAGCGAGCUGCUCG
rnacentral:tRNA from 1 species